AGAGUACGCAGACUGACUGACUGAUUAGAGUUUCAGUACUGUGGAGAGACAGGAUGCUGCAGGUCCAGAGGCUAACCAUUUGCCUUCUCUUGGGCUAGGUUCUGGCUCUCCAGAACAGCCAUUCCUUACACCCUUCCCACCGGAACUAACAUCCUGUGGCAAUAGACAAAGUCGUUUAGAACCUAUUGACUUCACAGACAACCAGCUUCUACUUCCGGGAGCCGGGAAUGCUGCCGGAUAGCAUCUUGAGUCUACAGGAAAGCUAUCCCCAUCUCCAUCUACCUGUCCCUGGGAAUGUACCCACCAAAGUAUUUUAAACUUGCCUCGAUUAUCUCUGUUCUGGAAAACUACAAAAACCCGUGAAGCUGCUUCCACAGUGAAACAAGGUAUUUCAGGCAACAGAUGCAUGCAGAGUGAAGUCUCCCUAGCUCAAGCCAGCAAGAGUUGCCACUGUUUCUUAGGAUCCCCUCGCACUGGAGCUCAGAGGCACACUACAAAAAGGAGCUGAGAGAUUUGAAACAUAAGAAACCCACGGCCGGGUCCUUUUCUGACUUCCCAACAAAGGCAGAGAGACCCGCUGUAGUGACAAAGCUACGAGUGAGUGGCAGUGAGCCAGGCAGAAGCUGGGAUGGAUUUCCAAGGUGCCUGUGGAGAGCUUGCAACCAAAUGCAUUGUGCGACGGUAGCCUCUGGUUCGGAUUGCCUGCUUUAACAAAAAACGUUUGUCUCCUUGUUGUUGAGGACCAGGGAAAUGCUGCAAUGGCCAUGAGCUCUAUUAAAGCAUACAUUCUCAUGUUGUUCUUGCUCUUCACUCUUUGGGAGUGUUGUAUGCUUAGUAUGAAGGUCUACUAAAAGAUCUUUCCAAAGGUUCCCUACAUCUUUCUUGCCAAUAUUUGAUAUU